rnacentral:rRNA from 1 species
GAUCUCAAAUCAGGUAGGGCUACCCGCUGAACUUAAGCAUAUCAAUAAGCGGAGGAAAAGAAACUAACAAGGAUUCCCCUAGUAACGGCGAGUGAAGCGGGAAGAGCUCAAAUUUAAAAUCUGGCAGUGUAUUCUGUCCGAGUUGUAGUCUAGAGAAGCAUCAUCCGUGCUGGACCAUGUACAAGUCUCUUGGAACAGAGCGUCAUAGAGGGUGAGAAUCCCGUCCUUGACAUGGACUCCCAGUACUUUGUGUUGUGCUCUCGACGAGUCGAGUUGUUUGGGAAUGCAGCUCAAAAUGGGUGGUAAAUUCCAUCUAAAGCUAAAUAUUGGCGAGAGACCGAUAGCGAACAAGUACCGUGAGGGAAAGAUGAAAAGCACUUUGGAGAGAGAGUUAAACAGUACGUGAAAUUGUUGAAAUGGAAACGCUUGAAGUCAG